rnacentral:rRNA from 1 species
CAGCAGCCGCGGUAACACGUAGGGCGCAAGCGUUAUCCGGAAUUAUUGGGCGUAAAGAGCUCGUAGGCGGUUUGUCGCGUCUGCCGUGAAAGUCCGGGGCUCAACCCCGGAUCUGCGGUGGGUACGGGCAGACUAGAGUGAUGUAGGGGAGACUGGAAUUCCUGGUGUAGCGGUGAAAUGCGCAGAUAUCAGGAGGAACACCGAUGGCGAAGGCAGGUCUCUGGGCAUUAACUGACGCUGAGGAGCGAAAGCAUGGGGAGCGAACAGGAUUAGAUACCCCCGUAGUCCCUGUCUCUUAUAC